AGAGUUUGAUCCUGGCUCAGAUUGAACGCUGGCGGCAGGCUUAACACAUGCAAGUCGAGCGGUAGCACAAGGGAGCUUGCUCCCUGGGUGACGAGCGGCGGACGGGUGAGUAAUGUCUGGGAAACUGCCUGAUGGAGGGGGAUAACUACUGGAAACGGUAGCUAAUACCGCAUAACGUCGCAAGACCAAAGAGGGGGACCUUCGGGCCUCUUGCCAUCAGAUGUGCCCAGAUGGGAUUAGCUAGUAGGUGGGGUAAUGGCUCACCUAGGCGACGAUCCCUAGCUGGUCUGAGAGGAUGACCAGCCACACUGGAACUGAGACACGGUCCAGACUCCUACGGGAGGCAGCAGUGGGGAAUAUUGCACAAUGGGCGCAAGCCUGAUGCAGCCAUGCCGCGUGUGUGAAGAAGGCCUUCGGGUUGUAAAG
rnacentral:rRNA from 1 species